UACGGGGGGGGCAAGCGUUGUUCGGAAUUACUGGGCGUAAAGGGCUCGUAGGCGGCCAACUAAGUCAGACGUGAAAUCCCUCGGCUUAACCGGGGAACUGCGUCUGAUACUGGAUGGCUUGAGUUCGGGAGAGGGAUGCGGAAUUCCAGGUGUAGCGGUGAAAUGCGCAGAUAUCAGGAGGAACACCGGUGGCGAAGGCGGGUCUCUGGGCCGUAACUGACGCUGAGGAGCGAAAGCAUGGGGAGCGAACAGG
rnacentral:rRNA from 1 species